UGGGAAUUGUACGAGCUACGAAAUCCUGGAUAUUUCUUACAAUCAAAUCACUGGAGAGAUUCCUUACAACAUUGGUUUCCUGCAAGUAGCUACAUUGUCUCUUCAGGGAAAUAGGCUUACUAGGAAGAUUCCAGAAGUGAUAGGACUCAUGCAAGCUCUUGCUGUUUUGUAAGUUUUGUACUGUCUUCUCAAAUUCUUUUCAUUUUUUUUUUUCAAAAUUUCUUUUCUUCCUAAAU